GUGCCAGCCCGGUAAUACGUAGGGUGCGAGCGUUUGUCCGGAAUUAUUGGGCGUAAAGAGCUCGUAGGCGGCCUGUCACGUCGACUGUGAAAACCUAGGGCUCAACCCUGGGCCUGCAGUCGAUACGGGCAGGCUUGAGUGUGGUAGGGGAGACUGGAAUUCCUGGUGUAGCGGUGAAAUGCGUAGAUAUCAGGAGGAACACCGGUGGCGAAGGCGGGUCUCUGGGCCGUAACUGACGCUGAGGAGCGAAAGCAUGGGGAGCGAACAGG
rnacentral:rRNA from 1 species